rnacentral:rRNA from 1 species
UGGUGGAGUGAUUUGUCUGGUUGAUUCCGUUAACGAACGAGACCUUUUCUUCCAAAUUGCUGCAGAUUAUAUCAAUAGUUUGUAGUAACUCGAAGAACAACAUGUGGAAAGCAUGGGGAAGAGAAAGGCGAAAACA